GCGUGAGUGAUGAAGGUCUUCGGAUUGUAAAGCUCUUUUGGCAGGGACGAUGAUGACGGUACCUGCAGAAUAAGCUCCGGCUAACUUCGUGCCAGCAGCCGCGGUAAUACGAAGGGAGCAAGCGUUGUUCGGAUUUACUGGGCGUAAAGGGUGCGUAGGCGGUUUGGUAAGUUGGAUGUGAAAUCCCUGGGCUUAACCCGGGAACUGCAUUCAAAACUCCCAGACUUGAGUAUGGAAGAGGUUGGUGGAAUUCCAAGUGUAGAGGUGAAAUUCGU
rnacentral:rRNA from 1 species